rnacentral:lncRNA from 1 species
GGGCAGCUCGGAAGUACUUUGUUUUUUAUGCUAAUGAGGGAGUGGGGCUUGUCCAUAUUUACGUUGAGGCGGGAGCCGCCGCCCUUCAUUCACCCACAUGGUCCCCUCGAGCGCCAGACUUCUCUGUCGACUCUCCGGCCCGACCCGAGCCUUCGCGCCACUUCACGCCGCCCGAGCCUAGAGGAGGAGCACAAGCUAGAGGCAGCCCCGCGGGGAGUGGGGUGGGGGGGCGCGGGCUCCCUUCUGCCUUCGCAACGCAGCGGAGACUUCGGCUCCCCCACCCUAAACUCCCCACCUUCGGGACGGGGCUGGCCGCUCGCUGCUGCCGCCCCUGGGCCCAGGGCCGCAGCUUGUAGUAAGGCGGAGGUGGGGGGGGGGCGGAGGGAAGAAGGGGGGGCGAGUGAGAGGCGGGGGCAAGUAAGAGCGUGGAGUGAAGAUGGUGGCGGCAGCGGCAGCGGCUCCUCCUCACUGGUGAGUGUCUUUACUACGCGCUUCUUAUUGACAUGAAACCUGUUGUGUGAGGUUUUCCCUCCGUCCCGGCGGGAGGUGGCGCGGGGCGGGGAGAGGAGCGAAGGGGAGGGGAAGAAAAGGGGGGUCCCGGGCCGUGCUGCGCCGCGCGCGGGGAGGAGGGAGGCGGGCUUCCCCGGAGGAACGGCGGCGGCGGUGGCAGCAUGGUGGCGGUGGCGGGGCUGGGCGGGAGGGAACAGCGUGGUGGGUUGGGGAAAGGGCGCGCGCCAGUAGUCGCGCGGACUGGAAGGUUUGUGCAGAGGGGGAUUCUCCUGGCCGGCCGCACGCGGUGGCUUCUUCGGGCUUGCAGUUGCUGCUUGGGGCUGGGCGCCGGGAGGUGUACAGAGAGGCAGGCGCAUGGCAGCCGGGACUCUUCCUCCACUCACUCACUAGCACGCGGGUCGGGCGGGCAGGCGGGAGGGAGGGAGGGAGGGGAUGAGGGAGAUUUGAAAAAGCGUGUGCGCCUCUCGGCUCCUUCGGUGCUACUAGGAGUCGCGCGGCCCCCCCUCCCCAGCCACUCCGGACCGGAGCCUCACCCCACCCCCUCCCUCUCUUCCCCUCCCCCCUCCCCGGACACAGCCACGGCGGGCGGGCAGGAGCGCCGCGCACACAAUGGCCCCACUUUGAGGGGAGGUGGGGGGGCAGACUCCCCCUUUUGCCCUCGCCCUCCCCCCAGUAGGAGCUGUAGGGGCACACCUGAUAAAAGUAAAAAAAUUCUUGUUGCGAGGAAACUUGAAAGGAAUUAUAUGAAUGAGUUGGAAUACUUUUCUCUGAAUUGUCCUGGGUUGGGAGUGAUCAGUCUUAAAUGAUCAUGAAGAGAGCAAAGGGGUAUCAGCACCACUGUUGAAAUGGCAUGAAAAUCACACUAGGUAUGAAAGAGCUGAAUUGGGGUCUGCUUAUGUGAGAGAAACUAGGGGAACCUUUAGAGGGAGAAGUAAAAUACCCAAAGCCUCUGAUCUCAGCAGUAGGAUGUAUGCUACAAAAAUAUUCUUGGAAAAUUAAAUGGAAGAGCAGUCAUUUUAAUCUCGGGGAAUCAAGAUUUUGUAGCUGGAGAGAGUGAAGUCAGGAGCAGUAGUACCAGUGACAGCAAUGAGAAUCCG